UACGUAGGGGGGCUAGCGUUGUCCGGAUUUAUUGGGCGUAAAGAGCGUGUAGGCGGCCAGGUAGGUCUGCUGUGAAAGCUCGAGGCUCAACCUCGAGACGUCGGCGGAAACCAUCUGGCUAGAGUCCGGAAGAGGAGAGUGGAAUUCCUGGUGUAGCGGUGAAAUGCGCAGAUAUCAGGAAGAACACCCGUGGCUAAGGCGGCUCUCUAGUACGGUACUGACGCUGAGACCGCGAAAGCGUGGGGAGCGAACAGG
rnacentral:rRNA from 1 species